rnacentral:lncRNA from 1 species
UCCGGCCCCGGGAACGUGCAGGGGGGCGGGAGGCAAGUCCCAUCAGCACUUUGAACUGGGGCUGCUUUUUAGUGACUCACCUCCCAGACUUCCUGCAACAGACAACUCUAAAUAGCUCGGUCCCACCCUCCAGCAGGGGAGACAUUCCGGUCGGGAAGGGCAGGAGGUUAGAAGGUGGGUGCCCCGCCAGGGCAGUCCAGGGAGACCCAAGGACAGGAGACGCUGGCUGCACAGCACAGGGGCGCACGAAUAGGACGUUUUGUUUACAGGCUUUUGUUAUUAAGGAAAUUGGUGUCAGUCAAGGUAAUUCUAGCUCAGAUGAGCAAUAAAUAUGCUCCCAGCUAA